CCCGUAGGUGGCGCGGGAAGUCGGUUGUGAAAGCCCCUGGCUCAACCAGGGAACUGCGGCCGAAACUCCCGUGCUGGAGUGUGAGAUGGGAGAGUGGAACUUCCAGUGGAGCGGUGAAAUGCGUAGAUAUUGGAAGGAACGUCGGCGGCGAAAGCGACUCUCUGGCUCACUACUGACACUGAGGGGCGAAAGCCAGGGUAGCGAACG
rnacentral:rRNA from 1 species